CUGGAGUUCAACCAGCAGUACUUGCUGAGGAGCAGAUCCUGCGGAUGCUCAAGGACUGCGUUUGCCACACCACCUUCUUGCUGCUUCCACACGCCCCGGGUGAGAAGCUGCCCCCAGAGGUGCUGGAGUACUAUCAGGACCAGAAAAGACUGCAGGAUGAGCAGGCAAAGCGCAAGACUGGGGAACCAGCAGGCCAGGACAACGCAAACUUUGAAGAUGUCCAGUCUGUGUCAGACCAAGGAGGAAAGCACUCUGCUG